rnacentral:rRNA from 1 species
GACGAACGCUGGCGGCGUGCUUAACACAUGCAAGUCGAGCGAUGAAGUUUCUUCGGAAAUGGAUUAGCGGCGAACGGGUGAGGAACACGUGAAGAAUCUGCCCUCCACUUUGGGAUAACACCGGGAAACCGGUGCUAAUACCGAAUAUUGAAACAUAAGUGGCAUCACUGAGUUUUGAAAGAAUUUCGGUGGAGGAUGACUUCGCGGCCUAUCAGCUAGUUGGUGAGGUAAUGGCUCACCAAGGCAACGACGGGUAGCCGGCCUGAGAGGGCGACCGGCCACACUGGGACUGAGACACGGCCCAGACUCCUACGGGAGGCAGCAGUGGGGAAUAUUGGACAAUGGAGGAAACUCUGACCCAGCGACGCCGCGUGCGGGAUGAAGGCCUUCGGGUUGUAAACCGCUUUCAGUAGGGAAGAAGCGAAAGUGACGGUACCUACAAAAGAAGCACCGGCUAACUAUGUGCCAGCAGCCGCGGUAA